rnacentral:tRNA from 2 species
GCCGACGUAGCUCAACGGUAGAGCAGCUGAUUUGUAAUCAGCAGGUUGCGGGUUCGAAUCCCAUCGUCGGCUCCA